UGGUAGUGGGGGUAACGUUCGGAAACGGACGCUAAUACCGCAUACGUCCUACGGGAGAAAGCAGGGGACCUUCGGGCCUUGCGCUAUCAGAUGAGCCUAGGUCGGAUUAGCUAGUUGGUGGGGUAAUGGCUCACCAAGGCGACGAUCCGUAACUGGUCUGAGAGGAUGAUCAGUCACACUGGAACUGAGACACGGUCCAGACUCCUACGGGAGGCAGCAGUGGGGAAUAUUGGACAAUGGGCGAAAGCCUGAUCCAGCCAUGCCGCGUGUGUGAAGAAGGUCUUCGGAUUGUAAAGCACUUUAAGUUGGGAGGAAGGGCAGUUGCCUAAUACGUAACUGUUUUGACGUUACCGACAGAAUAAGCACCGGCUAACUCUGU
rnacentral:rRNA from 1 species